rnacentral:rRNA from 1 species
UUGAUCCUGGCUCAGAUUGAACGCUGGCGGCAUGCUUUACACAUGCAAGUCGAACGGCAGCACGGGGGCAACCCUGGUGGCGAGUGGCGAACGGGUGAGUAAUGCAUCGGAACGUACCCAGUCGUGGGGGAUAACGCAGCGAAAGUUGUGCUAAUACCGCAUACGACCUGAGGGUGAAAGCGGGGGACCGUAAGGCCUCGCGCGAUUGGAGCGGCCGAUGUCUGAUUAGCUAGUUGGUGGGGUAAAGGCCCCACCAAGGCGACGAUCAGUAGCGGGUCUGAGAGGAUGAUCCGCCACACUGGGACUGAGACACGGCCCAGACUCCUACGGGAGGCAGCAGUGGGGAAUUUUGGACAAUGGGGGCGAACCCUGAUCCAGCCAUGCCGCGUGCGGGAAGAAGGCCUCGGUGUAACG